CAAAACCGCUAGUCUCGUUACCGCCACCUACCGUCUUCUUUGGAACAGUCUUGGUUUUCAUUCACUGCUCCCUGACGUUAGAGGUGCCCCUGUACAAUCUAACAGCAUAGAAAGAAGUGGACAUAAACCUCAGCUUCACAGUUUUGAGGUUCAAGAUUUGUCACCAUUGGUAGGGAACUCCUAAAUCUAAUAAAAAGAGAGGUUUCAAGGAAGACUGCUUUAGAACAUUCAAGAAUUGUACCUGACUCUUCUUCGUUCUCUUUGAGCUCAAGUAACAGAAAACAGGUAUUCUCUCCUUAUUACUUCAAAUUGAAUUUACCUGACACAAUAUGAAAAAAAGUAUUGUUGGUCAUAAUAAAUGCAUUCUCAAAAUGGGUAGAACUCUUUCCAACAGAGCAUCCCGACUUAUCGACAUCAGCAGGAUAUCACAUUGGUGGAACCAGGAGACUGGAUCCUGGUGAGGAGCAAAAAGAAGCACUGGUAUUUUCUUAAGUAGGAAUGUCCAUUUCAGGUUUUGUUGAACGGUUUUGUUGAACACUCACAGCUGUAAAAAUUAGGUUGACUUGGAUUAAUUUGGCACAUUCCAGAAAGGUAAUUUCAGUCUAGGAUCCGAUUGAGGAGGUGAGCUAAAGACUGGUUAACAAGCUUGGUGGAGAUUUAUAGUAUCUCAAAAUAGCUGAUGGCCAGUGAAGAAAUUUGAAAACACUGAACCUAUAGGGAUACCUAGAUGAAAUACCUACCCUAAAGUGGUCGUAACCAUCGUAACAUUUUUCCUGCCUUUGAGAUAUCUGUGGGGUGUUGUAAUGUUGUCAUGCCAUGCAUGAAAAAACAAAACCUAAAUUAUCCACAAUUGGUUUCUCAUGCAUGUGAUGAUGAUCGAAAAUUUCUUUUAUAAUAAUCCCAUGGUCAAGUCCGACAGAUAGGGGAACAAGGAGCAGUGUUUAGUCAAAUUAAGUGGUAUAUGAUGAAUAAUCUGAAUGCUCACGAGUUGGGACACUUUGGUGACGGAUGAAAAUAAUGAAGAAGCAAAUCCAUGUUGGGGCUCUUUCCUGUGAGUCUACAUCUCCGGUAAUCCACGUUUCACUUUGAUGCUUUGUGAAAAGUACAGAGGUAACAGCUAGCGCCCUUUCUUCUAGAGUAACAUUAGAAAAGGUAAGGGUGAUCCAAAAGCUAAAGGUUGAUGAGUGGUUUCAUGUAAUAACAGUCAUUUUGGGACAAAAUAAUAAUAGUCUUCUUAUGGUGGAACAAGCAGCAACAGCUUUAUCAAAAGAUUGCGUCGUUUGCAUGGGUCCCAGACCUCUUUUACAGAUUAUACCAGCGCUAUUAGCAGAUAAUUGCACCUUGGAAGUUAUGAGUAAAACAGUACUUGAUAAUGAAUGCAAAAAUUGGGAUUCUGUAUAUCCAUUGACUUUUUUUGAAAAAUGAAAAACAUUGUUUUCUGAUUCUCACCGGGUAUUUCACUUGCGUCCAUUUGCUAGGAACCAGAAGCAAAUUGGGAAAUUUAUCAGCAAUGAUGUGUAAAAUCAUUUUGGUGAUUGAGAAUUCAUUGAAGCCAUUGUCACAUUGGGCAUCUAGUAGUGGUAAGGAGCUAACGGGCUUUUGAAUAAAUUGCCCAAGAAUGUAACAUUAUUGUACUUUAUUCAUCCUAUGUCUGUUAUUGAAUCAACUUCUACUGUGCAGGCAAUUUCAUUUGAACAAUGGCAUAGAAGAGAGCAGCUCAAUGCCAAGGAUAAAACAAUCCAACAUCUACGCAUUGGUGUUCCCGUGGUGUUCCGAGUGUAAAUUGGCUGACCAAGUGGCAACUGGAUUUGAAUCUUUCAUGUGGUGGUGGUGUGCAACCAACAAGAACGUGGAGAGAAUAAGCUACAUCCACCACAAUGUCAAAAUUGGGAAAUUGGACUGAAAAGUGUUUUUUGAGGCUGUGCAUGAACAACUUGGAGCCACUUAAUGCCAUUUCAAAACCAGAUAGCCAUGGACAUGCACCUGGUUGAAAAACAUGGUGUCUGCGCUCUCUUUGGGGAGCGAUCCAUCUUCAUCCUGAAUCAUAUGGCUGCUGAUGGUGGUCUGACCAAGGCUAUAAAAGGCCUUUGGUGGCGGUAAGGUGAAUGAGCACUCUGGUGUUGACACCACCAUGUAGGCUCCAGCCCGGGCUGUGCGAGUGCCAGCGCGGUUGCGCUGAUUGGGAGGCGCACACCUGCGCCUCAUGCGGGCUGAUUAUCCGGUGUAUUUAUAUGACCUCGAUGACGACUGGUGGGUGCCAGUUCGUUGAGCUUCAUGUCCCGUUCGAGUACUCCCGUAUCCCUGAUCGACAACCCGUGUGUACCGACCUUCGCCUGUUCUCCAACCAACCCCGUAAGCCUGACUCCUUUGACACUUCUGCCUGCUUUGAUCAUUCUCCCAUGUACCGACUCCUGCCUGCCCGCUCACCUGCUCUCUUCGCCCGACGUCCCAAUUACUGCCGCUGCACCUGACUGCCUGCCCGAUCCCCGACCAUGGAAUAAUAAACGUUUCUCCCCGAACUACCUUUUAUCGUCCGAGUCCUGCAUUUGGGUCCUACUCCCGUUCUGAUGGGGCGUGACAGUGUGUUCGGAAAAUACAAAGCACUCGUCUCAUCUAUUUUAAUUCCAUUGCGGUUUUUGCAGCUAUUUUGACUUUGUGUGGUUGUUGCUGUAUUCUCUGCCUGCGAUGUUGCCUAAACUGAAUUAUUACCACAGCAAUCUCACCCAUGGAGAACAAAAUGGCGUAGAUGUAUCCUUUGCUGGGGACAAAUCAUGAGGGAGUAUUCUGGCUGACUUGCCUGAUCUGUUUCUAGAAAUGUUAUGACAAUGCAUAAACAACCAUUUUGUAUCAAAGUAGUCGAAGAUCUGGCAAAGUGUCUAUUUUGGGGUAUUUGAGAAUUUAAGCAAAUUUUCGAUAAACAGGAGGGAAAUGUUGGAUUAAUUGGAUAUAAAGUUAUCUCAUAUUUGCUUUCUUGGGUUUUUAAUGCUUAUGUGAUGCAAUGCAAUCAAGAGGCACAUUGAGUGCCAUGGAAACUUUGCUAUAAUGUACUUUAACAAAGUGAUGGAAUCAAUUAACAUUGGGUGCCGUGGAAACACCAAACUUUGAUGCAGAAGACAACAAAGACUGACGAUAUCCAGAGGAUGCUGAAGACAUCGCAAAGACUCACAUGGACUAUUUUUGUCACGGUUGCUUUGUUUGUGACAUUUGCUUUGUGUGAUGCGGACCACGCUAAGGAAUAAAGUGGAGACGUGGAGAUAUGAUUAGAACGGGUUGGAGAUUGUGAAAGACACAUCUCACGUUCUCCUCGCGAGCCAGAAGUUCCUCAUCUUCCUUCCUUGAUAAUUUUACCUGAAAUGUCCUCUGCUGUUUAAACCUGACACUAAGCAUGUCGAUUAAACAGCUUUUGGCAUUUGCAACGUAAUUAAAAAAAAUCUUAGCCGAUAGAGAUCAUUGUUUUAAAAUUCGCAUUCCUCAGCAUUGUCAGAUCCUGCCGCUCCAGCCCGGGCUGUGCGGGUGUCUGCGGUUGCUCUGAUUGGGAGGUGCACACCUGCGCCUCAUGCAGCCUGAUUACGCUGUGUAUUUAUAUGACGACUGCCCGGCGCCAGUUCGUUGAGCUUCAUGUCCCGUUCCAGCACUCUCGUAUCCCUGAUCGACAACCUGUGUGUACCGACCUUCGCCUGUUCUCCGACCAACCUUGUAAGCCUGACUCCUUUGAUACUUCUGCCUGCCUUGAUCGUUCUCCUGUGUACCGAAACCUGCCUGCCUGCUCACCUGCUCUCUUCGCCCGACGUCCCAACUACCGCUGCUGCACCGGACUGCCUGCUCGAUCCCCGACGUUGGCAUAUAAUAAACGUUUCUCCUUGAACUA